GUAGUUUUAGGGUCUAAUGAUGGUCCUAACUCAAUUUUUUUUUUUUUUUAAUUUUUGAAAAAAAUAUGCCUUGUUAUAGCCUUACUUUUGAUUUUGUGUGUGAUUUUUGUUUUUUGUCAUUUUUUGUGCCUUACUGCUUUCUUAGCCCUGUUUAAGUAUGUGCAUUAUGUUUGCAGUAGUUUUUAGGGUCUAAUGAUGGUCCUAAGUCAAUUUUUUUUUUUUUUUGAAAUUUUUGAAAAAAUAUGCCUUGUUUGAUUUUGGGUGAUUUUUGUUUUUUGUCGUUUUUUUGUGCCUUCCUGCUUUCUUAGCCCAGUUUAAGUAUGUGCAUUAUAUUUGCAGUAGUUUUUAGGGUCUAAUG
rnacentral:lncRNA from 1 species